CGCCCCUACCACCUGACACUCCUCUCCGUCUUCUCCUUCCUGCUCCUCACCGGCCUUGUGGCUGCUGAUCUGUCAGGAGGGAAGAAGGUCGGGAAGAUAGUGACCCUGAGUCCCUGACCGUCCAGUACCCGGCUGUGGACUCGCCACCGGGGGAGAAGACCAAGAUCUCAAUGCACUACGCCAAAGAGAACGGGGGCGGCGACCGCCAUUUGGAUCUCGACUGUGACAACGACGAGCCCCUAUGUUUCGGCAUGAAGUACCUUGUCUCAACCUUGGAGGGGAAGAUACGAGAUGCGCGGGAGUCGCGAUCCGAGCUCUAGUAGCGUGGUAGGUAUGCCCAGUGCCCACUGCCCAGUGGAGAUUGGAGAAGGAGCUCAAAUUUUGUGUUGUACUAUCUGCAACUGGUGCCCAUCCGGCGAGGUAGUACCGUAAUAGCGUGGUAGUAGCGUGCAGGGUGCUGGAGUAUGUCGAUCUUCAGGUAUCUCUGUAGUAUCUCUUGGAUUGUGUGUGUCGCCUAACAUAAGAGGCGAUCGUGUGAAUCUCUUCCGAGUUCGUUCGUGAAAGAAA